rnacentral:misc_RNA from 1 species
CUUCAUUUCCAAAAAAUAUAUUUGGAAUUGUGAGAUUCUUUGCUACAACUUCCUCUGUAGUUAAAUGAUCAAUCAAUUUUAAACAAUGUUGCCAAUCGCUCAUUUGGUUCUCCAGUCCUUAUUUUUGCAAGAUAUAUGCCAAAAACUGUAGCAGGUUUUUGUGAUCUUACUCUUAAAGGUGGUGUUUGAUCUAAAAUGUUGUUAAAUUGAUAUUUUGUUAAAGAUGUCCAAAAAUGGAAUUCAUUGUCAUCAAAUCUGUCUAAGUUUUCGAAAUCCUGUUUCCUUUUUAGGCCCCAUUUAUAAAUGUUAAUAAUGUCUAAACAUAUAAUCACCGUUAAAAUCUUGGUGAUUUCCUUGCAACAAUAGUUCUUUCCCAUACGUUAUUUCCUAAGUGUACAUUAUAGACUCGAGCACGAUAAGGAAUGUAAAAAUUAUUGUCUCGUAACAUUUGGAGUUCGAUGUAAUUAGGCACCGCAUUUGUUGGUGCGUUUCGGAAAUUGUCAAAUACACAGCGCCUUGCUGUAUUGGCACAACGUGAAUGGCCGCCAAGAUUGAUUAACCUCUCACGCAUACCGGGAGAAGGUAGUGGUAUCUCGGGUUGUAGCUGCUCAGGUUGUAGUUGUUCAGGUAGUGGUUUUUCAGGUUGUGGUUGAUCAAGUUGAGCUUGUACAACUGCACGAUGAGCUCUCUGCAUGCAAGGAUGGCAUAUAGAUCUUGCUCCAUUAAAUGCAACCUGAAAAGACGUAACAUUUUUUUUGCUUUAACUUUAGUAGUUAGAUAACAAUAGAAAGCCACACUGUACUUAAGUAAUUGUUAAACAUUUAUUUUAUCACAAAACCAGUGACUCUACUUUUGUGUCCAUUAUGUACACGUAAUGAACAUAUUUAUUUAGGUAUACUAUAAUAAUAUGAUCACGGUAAGUUUCUUUUACGCAGCUUAAACUAACGGUGAUUGUGCACAAUGCAUUUAUAAAAUGUGUUAAAAAGAAGGUACUUUAUAACCAUUCAUUUAGCUGGUCAUUAGUUAUUAGCAUUCGAACACAUUUUUCGACUUUUAACGACUGAAAUAAACGCAUAGCAAUGUAUUAAGCCACGCGGAACGGCGACCGGCGAAAUGUACCGAGCGA